rnacentral:rRNA from 1 species
GAUGAACGCUGGCGGCGUGCCUAAUACAUGCAAGUCGAGCGGACGGACGAGACGCUUGCCUCUCUUCUGUUAGCGGCGGACGGGUGAGUAACACGUGGAUAACCUACCUAUAAGACUGAGAUAACUUCGGGAAACCGAAUCUAACACCGGUUGAUAUUUUGAACGGCAGGGUUCAACGGUGAAAGCCGUUCUUGCUGACCCUAAUAGAGGUUACCGGGCUGCAUUGGCUAGUUGGUAAGGUAACGGCCUACCAAGGCAACGAUGAAUGGCCGACCUGAGAGGGUGAUCGGCCACACUGGAACUGAGACACGGUCCAGACUCCUACGGGAGGCAGCAGUAGGGAAUCUUCCGCAAUGGGCGAAAGCCUGACGGAGCAACGCCGCGUGAGUGAUGAAGGUCUUCGGAUCGUAAAACUCUGUUAUUAGGGAAGAACAUAUGUGUAAGAAACUGUGCACAUCUUGACGGUACCUAAUCAGAAAGCCCCGGCUAACUACGUG